rnacentral:rRNA from 1 species
ACUCAUCAACCCUGUGAACUUACCUAUACGUUGCUUCGGCGGGAAUAGACGGCCCCGUAAAACGGGCCGCCCCCGCCAGAGGACCCUUAAUUCUGUUUCUUUUAGUGUAUCUUCUGAGUAAAACAAGCAAAUAAAUUAAAACUUUCAACAACGGAUCUCUUGGCUCUGGCAUCGAUGAAGAACGCAGCGAAAUGCGAUAAGUAAUGUGAAUUGCAGAAUUCAGUGAAUCAUCGAAUCUUUGAACGCACAUUGCGCCCGCCAGUAUUCUGGCGGGCAUGCCUGUUCGAGCGUCAUUACAACCCUCAGGCCCCCGGGCCUGGCGUUGGGGAUCGGCGGAGCCCCCCGUGGGCACACGCCGUCCCUCAAAUACAGUGGCGGUCCCGCCGCAGCUUCCAUCGCGUAGUAGCUAACACCUCGCGACUGGAGAGCGGCGCGGCCACGCCGUAAAACACCCAACUCUUCUGAAGUUGACCUCGAAUCAGGUAG